rnacentral:lncRNA from 1 species
AAAGAAAUUUACAAAGGCUUCUCUUUUUUUUCUUUUUGUGUGGUUUUUUUUUGUUGUUUUCUGCUUUUCUUUGUUUGUUGUUCUUGGUUUUGUUGUUUUUUUUUUUUUGUGGGUUUUGUUUGUUUGUGGUUUUGUUGUUUAUUCUUUUAGCAACCGUGGCGGGUGGUGUGGGUGGAUCCUGGGGUGGAUCCUGGGGUGGAUUCUGGGGUGGAUCCCAGCGAUGGAUUCCUGGGAUGGAUUCUGGGGUGGAUCCCUGGAAUGGAUCCUGGGGUGGAUUUUGGGAUGGAUUCCUGGGAUGGAUUCCUGGGGUGGAUUCCUGGGGUGGAUUCCUGGGAUGGGUUCCUGGGAUGGGUUCCAGGGGUGGAUUCCUGGGGUGGAUCCCUGGGGUGGAUCCCAGCGAUGGAUUCCUGGGAUGGAUUCUGGGGUGGAUCCCUGGAAUGGAUCCCAGUGAUGGAUCCUGGGGUGGAUCCCUGGAAUGGAUCCUGGGGUGGAUUCCUGGAAUGGAUCCUGGGGUGGAUUCCUGGGAUGGAUCCUGGGGUGGAUCCCUGGGAUGGAUUCCUGGGAUUGAUCCCUGGGAUGAAUUCCUGGGAUGGAUCCUGGGGUGGAUUCCUGGGAUGGAUCCCAGCAAUGGAUCCUGGGGUGGAUCCUGGGGUGGAUUCCUGGGAUUGAUCCCAGCAAUGGAUUCCUGGGGUGGAUUUUGGAAUGGAUCCCUGGAAUGGAUCCUGGGGUGGAUUCCUGGGAUGGAUCCCAGUGAUGGAUUCCUGGGAUGGAUCCCUGGGAUGGAUCCUGGGGUGGAUUCCUGGGAUGGGUUCCAGGGGUGGAUCCUAGGGUGGAUUCCUGGGAUGGAUCCCUGGAAUGGAUCCUGGGGUGGAUUCCUGGGGUGGAUCCCUGGGGUGGAUCCUGGGGUGGGUUCCAGGGGUGGAUUCCUGGGAAGGAUCCCUGGGAUGGAUCCCAGCAAUGGAUUCUGGGAUGGAUUUCAGGGGUGGAUUCUGGG